AAAAUAUUCCCCCGGACCAGAAACCGCUUUCAGAGACUUGUAUAAAUGCUGGUCUGCCAGGCGGAUGUCUAAGAAACAUCGGCAGAAGAUCCUCAUAAUGCAUCUGGAAAAAGAGACCGCACAAUCUUAAUACUCACCAUGCAAAAAACGAAAAGGAUCCAGUACUAAAGACAGACACGCUCCAGUAAUCAGGGGCCAACCCACAAGCAGCCAUCAUGGCACCACCUCUCCAAAACCAAAGCCCAACUGACCAUGCCCUCAACUCCAACUGUACUGAACAGGAGGAACAUUCUGGCGAAGUCUAAAAAUUCAGUAGAACAAGAGCUUGAGAAAAUGCAAGUGCUUCAGAAGGAAAUGCUAGAGAGUCUCAAGAAAAAUGAGCAUUCCAUGAAAGUUGCCAUAUCUGGAGCAGAUAGCCUUUCUGGUUCCAUGAUUCAAGACGGCUUUGAGCUCCUUGCCUACCCACUAGAACUGUCCUUACUGCGCUGGACAUGCAAUCCUCCUAUAUUUACUGGUGGAUUUAAUACAAGGAGAGCCUGUCUUCCAU